rnacentral:lncRNA from 1 species
AGCUUUUCGAGGGAAUAUCCUUCCAUACAAAAUGAAGUUACCUCUCCCCAAACUCUCUGGUAAAAGUAGCCAGCCAAAAAUUGAGGUGAAACUCAAGGGCAGUUAAUGAAAACGUAACUUUAAACACUCAGAAGGCGUCUCAUCCAAAUUCCGUUUAUAAUCCUUCAAUUAAAAACUCAGCACAUUUUUGGUAGUGUUUAAAGUUGAUUUAGUAAUCUUUUAAUUAAAAAACAACAUUUAUAAUAUACAACGUUAUUAAGGAGAAAGGCUUCUUAGAUUUGGAAAGAAAAGGGCCAGCCCAACACAGCCGCGACUCUCUUCACAGCUGUUGUAAGUAAAUUAUGUAAUCUUCCAGAGAGCAAUUUGGCAAUCUGAAUGAAACACCAUUUAAUGCACAUUUUUUUUGUCAAUACGGUAAUUCUCAUUCUAGGCAUUUGCUACAAAGAAAUAAUGUUGUAUGCACAAAGAUAACUGUACCAAGGACAUUCAACACAGCCUGGCUCAUCCUACCAAAAAAUUGGAACCAAAUUGAGUGUUCAACGACAGAGUCUUGGCGGCAUAAAUUAGCACCUGUCAAAUGUGAUGAUGCCUAGUCAUGGUUUUAAAGAACGGAUUGCAAAGGGAGAAGCAGUUUCAAGACAAAAGGAGCGCUAAGUGGCUCAGCGGAGGGAGCAGCCAAGUGUCUGAGGAUUCUGCCCCUGCUUCCUCUGGCUCAGGGUUUCCGGACUUCAUUUGAACAGCUUUCUACUUUUGUCAAGGAGACGGCUGACUCCACGAGGGAAUUGUCAACUAGUAAAGCCCUUUCUUCAGAAAGUGUGAAUCGAUGGUGACUGUAAAAACCCAGGAUCUGGGGAAGAUUUCCUGAAACUGUGCGUGAGCACCUGUAAGCCUGCUGUUUCUCAGCCUCCUUAAGAGUGACAUCUUAGCAUCCCUCUCUUCCUAAUCCAUUUGCCCAGAGAUGGCUACAGAAGGUUUUCUCUGUCUGUCAACCCUCUCAUGUAGAAAUAGUUCUAUAUCCUUUUAAACGCCUUGCAACACUGCUACCAUCUCUGGUCCAUCAUUUCUUACAUAUGUGUGCAUUUAAUUAAUCCUGCGUACGAAUUAAUUUGAUUGGCUGCAUCUCUUCCCAUUUUCCUGUUAAGCCUUGGUAAGAAGUGUGUGUGUGUGUGUGUGUGUGUGUGUGUGUGUGUGUGUG